AAAUCAUCAGUCUGUACGGACGUCAUGUUCGUAGAGAUUGGAAGUGUGGGGGCUUUGCUGGUUCGGUCCGGCUCUCCUGAAAUGCAUUAGCAAGUGUUUUUCGAUGUGCACGGCUUCGGCGUGAUAACGAUCGUCGUGGCUGGAGCAUCGGAUAUUGCUUUCUCUCUUGGAUUAGCUAUUAGUUACCCUCUUCACGGAGGGGGCGAACACGAUCCGAACCUUUUUCAUU
rnacentral:misc_RNA from 1 species